rnacentral:lncRNA from 1 species
AACGCACUUGAGUUUGUCGACCCGAACAAGCUGCGCAAGCACGCACCUACUGCAGAUGCCUCUAAUGGCCCAACUCACAAUGCUGCAUUCACCACACAUGUGUCUGCAUCUGCACCUGCGCCACAGACAAAAGCACCAGCCGCAUUCCGCUGCAUGGUGCAUGGAUCUAACACCACCCACAGCACAGAGCAAUGCAGAUCUGUUAAGCGCAUGAUUGCACAGAGUAAGGCAGCUCAGCCUCAAUCCAUUCACCCAGACACCAAUUUGCUGAUGGACACUCUUGUUCAUGAGUUUCGCGCACGCCUAGCUGAAGCAACUGCAUCCUUUUACCCCUUGCAAGCGCAGCAACAUCAUACACAACCGAGCAACCAACAAAGUGCACUGCAUCAAUCAUCUCCUGC